rnacentral:rRNA from 1 species
GGGUUGUGAGGUUAAGCGACUAAGCGUACACGGUGGAUGCCCUGGCAGUCAGAGGCGAUGAAGGGCGUGCUAAUCUGCGAUAAGCGCCGGUAAGGUGAUAUGAACCGUUAUAACCGGCGAUACCCGAAUGGGGAAACCCAGUGUGAUUCGUCACACUAUCAUUAACUGAAUCCAUAGGUUAAUGAGGCGAACCGGGGGAACUGAAACAUCUAAGUACCCCGAGGAAAAGAAAUCAACCGAGAUUCCCCCAGUAGCGGCGAGCGAACGGGGAGGAGCCCAGAGCCUGAAUCAGCAUGUGUGUUAGUGGAAGCGUCUGGAAAGGCGCGCGAUACAGGGUGACAGCCCCGUACACAAAAGCGCAUGUGCUGUGAGCUCGAUGAGUAGGGCGGGACACGUGGUAUCCUGUCUGAAUAUGGGGGGACCAUCCUCCAAGGCUAAAUACUCCUGACUGACCGAUAGUGAACCAGUACCGUGAGGGAAAGGCGAAAAGAACCCCGGCGAGGGGAGUGAAAAAGAACCUGAAACCGUGUACGUACAAGCAGUGGGAGCACCCUUCGGGGUGUGACUGCGUACCUUUUGUAUAAUGGGUCAGCGACUUAUAUUCUGUAGCAAGGUUAACCGAAUAGGGGAGCCGGAGGGAAACCGAGUCUUAACCGGGCGUUAAGUUGCAGGGUAUAGACCCGAAACCCGGUGAUCUAGCCAUGGGCAGGUUGAAGGUUGGGUAACACUAACUGGAGGACCGAACCGACUAAUGUUGAAAAAUUAGCGGAUGACCUGUGGCUGGGGGUGAAAGGCCAAUCAAACCGGGAGAUAGCUGGUUCUCCCCGAAAGCUAUUUAGGUAGCGCCUCGUGAAUUCAUCUCCGGGGGUAGAGCACUGUUUCGGCUAGGGGGCCAUCCCGGCUUACCAACCCGAUGCAAACUGCGAAUACCGGAGAAUGUUAUCACGGGAGACACACGGCGGGUGCUAACGUCCGUCGUGAAGAGGGAAACAACCCAGACCGCCAGCUAAGGUCCCAAAGUCAUGGUUAAGUGGGAAACGAUGUGGGAAGGCCCAGACAGCCAGGAUGUUGGCUUAGAAGCAGCCAUCAUUUAAAGAAAGCGUAAUAGCUCACUGGUCGAGUCGGCCUGCGCGGAAGAUGUAACGGGGCUAAACCAUGCACCGAAGCUGCGGCAGCGACACUGUGUGUUGUUGGGUAGGGGAGCGUUCUGUAAGCCUGUGAAGGUGUGUCGUGAGGCAUG